GAACCUGCGGAAGGAUCAUUGUCGAU
rnacentral:rRNA from 1 species